rnacentral:lncRNA from 1 species
CGCGGCUCUGGCAGGGCUUGCUAGGGCGGGCGGGCGAUCGCAGGGCGCUCCGCCGGGGAGGGGGCGCUGCGCCGGGAGGGGGCGGGCGUCGUCCCCCCGGGAAGCUGCAGACCCCGGCUCCCGCAAAGGAGCGCCGCGCCGGGCUUCGCUGUUCCACGCGGCUCCAGCGGGGAUGGAGGACUCGGUGGCGGCGGCUGCUUCUGAGGCGGCGGCGACCGAAGAGCUGCUCUAAGGAGGGGACAGCGGGAUUAGAGUUCUCCAGAAUCCACGUCAUAUAUAUAGCCCCUGAGGUGGAAUGGUGAUGUCUCCAUGAGGGAACCUCCUCUCAGUCAUCCUGUCCUGUACAUCAACUGUUCUUGACUGGGCCGUUCAUCUAAGAUAGGAUUGACCCUGUGAAACAGGGAGAAGACCUAUGGACUCCAAGCGUCAUCUCAAGUUAUAGUUUUUUUUGUUGAAAGCACAGACAUACAUGCAGAGCGCUUGUGCUUUGGACCCUCUGCUGUAUUAGAGCUGCUGUGCUGCUUCUGCUCCAGAGCUGUUCCAGUCUACUGACCUAUCACCAUGGCUUCAGUUUGGAAGCGACUGCAGCGUGUGGGAAAACACGCAUCCAAGUUCCAG